ensembl:lncRNA
GGAAUCUAAAAGGAACAUGGCUGCAGGCGAGGAGCAGUCUCAAAACAGCCACUUCCAGCCAGUACACACAAAUAAACCUGAACGCUGAACUUCAAGAGAACCUCGUAAAAAGAGAAUUUUUGCAAUUAAAGUCACAAUUUGAACGGUCUGAACGCCUGCCAUUGUUCAGUCUCUGUGAUAAGGGGCAUGUGAUUCACCACUACGGCUCAGUAAAUGAAGGAUGGAGAUGAGCCACUGACAUGAAUACCCUGCCCUUGACUGAGCCAGGAUGCGAUCUCACGACUGCAUGUGAAAGCGCUCACUGGCACGGUGCCCGUCAGAUCGAGACGUCAGAGCCGCACACACUCACGCUGGCACGGGUCCCAUCGCUGCGUCCGCCCAUGCGAGGCCACCGGGCUGUGACGUUACAGAGGGAUAAUUUUGGGAUGACGCAUGCCGGUUCUCUGCGUGGAAUCAUUUUGGCUGCAUGGAAGUCAAUGGCUACCGUCAGCUGUUUGGUUACCAACAUUCAAAAAUAUGUGUUCAACAGAAGAAAGAAACUCAUACAGGUUUGGACCAAAUGGAGGGUUUUUCUGGCUCAAUUAGCAGACUCUCUUUCUGCUGAAGGGGGAUUCAGCAUGUGACAGAGAGCGAGAGAGAGAGAGAGAGAGAGAGAGCACAGAACGGGUCGAGUGUCCUGUGUGUUUGUGUGUGUCCCGACGGCCCGCAGCAUUACCCAGUCUUAUGGAUCGGAGCCCCACAGAGCCGGACUUAACAAGCCUGGACUGCAGCAAUACUUGCUGAUCUGCUGAAUCCCACUGAUGUUAAUUGAUGGGCUAAGUUAGAAGAAAGAAUAAAUAAAGGCAGUCGGACAGUAGCUGCAGGUCUCUGACUCACUCAAUGGGUAACUGAGCAGAUGUACUGUAGUAAAAAGCACUGAAUGUUCAGAAUAUAUUCUUUUGUGAAGCAACAUAAAAUAAUAAGCAAACUAUUCAUUCAACAGAUGCAUGCAGCCAAAACUUUCAAUUCAAUAAAUCUGAUGCCACACUCCAAUAACCAUUGAUUAAUUCAUGGAAAAUAUUAAAUAUUACAACACAUUGCUUUAUUUCUGUAUAAAACAGCAGUUGCAGUUCUGUCUUUUAAAGGGGCAUGUGAUGAGCGUCUCAAUAGCAACAAGAGGAAAAAUGUUGGGAGCAAAAACAUGCAAGGGAGAAAGCAAACAGAUGAAAGUGCUGGAGCAGCAGAACUGAAGGCCUAAAUCUAUUUAAUCACAAAAUAAGGACAGUUCAAGAAGUGGCAGUGUAAUAUUCCCUGCAUAAAAAUCUUCCCAACCUCUCGCAAUGACCUGCAGCUGCUCUACCGGCUGCUGCCUUAUAACAGAAUACAUCUAUGUGGCAAAGAAGCUUGAAAGCACCGAAAAAUGAUUUCAUCUAUCUGCUGCAGAUUGGCCUUGGAAAUUAAUAUACCCAUGCCGGGCAGACCUGACCAGGCUUGCCACCAAAACAAGAGCCUGCGGAGUCAUUACAGGUAAUAAAUAAAUAAAUGGAAAUGAAAGAGGAAUGGGAGGUAAUUGCAAGGGAGACUGAGAUAGGAGCGUAUAAGCGAUUCGCUCGCAGGUAUGUGUGUGUGUGUGUGUGCGUGUGUGUGUGUCCAGUCCACAGUGAGGCAGUACAGACACAAACUCUCACUCACACACACACAAACACACCCUGAACUUACACAGAGCAAUUAAGGUGCUGUUGAGAUGAUACUCUUUGUGCUUCACAGAUGUAAAACACUGGUUCUAAGAGCCGAUUAUCAGCUUUAGAGAAAGCAAUCAUCAAACACAUGUUCUCUGUACCGACAACACAAAUUGACACCAGUAUCUUUGAGCUCACAUAAUGCUGCUGCUUUCCUCUUCUAACAAGCCCCGAUAAUCUGAAGAACCAUCAAACUUACUGACCUGAAGGUGAGAAACUUAUGGAAGAAAAAUAAUAUCACUUUGAAACAUAAAAGCAUGUUGAAUAGCAUUAACUGAAAAAAUAAUGCAUUGCAGUAACAGUGUUUGCUUUUUAAUGUCUUGUAUUUUCAGGGCUUGCAUUGUUAGGUCCUGAAAUGUAACAAGUAGUACAAGUUGUACAGUGUUAAACAACUUCUUAAUCUUUAAUAUAAAAACAACAACAUAUCUACAAAUAUAGUUUGGGAACAGCAAGUUUUUGAAAGAAGUAUCUUCUGUUCAUCAUCAAGGCUUCCUUUAUUUGAUCAAAAAUACAGAAAAGACAGUAAUAUUGUGAAAUAUUAUUACAAUUUAAAAUAAGUUUUCUAUUUUAAUAUACUUAAAAAUAUAAUUUAUUCAUGUGAUGCAAAGCAUGUCUUGACUAUCAUUUUUUUUUAUAUAAAUUUAACACAUCCUUGCUGAAUAAAAGUAUUAAUUUCUUUCAAAAGAGUUUCUAUUUUUAAUAAAUGCUGUUCUUUAACUUUUUAUUCACCAAAGAAUCUUGAAAAAAGUAUCAGGAUCCAAACAAAUAUAAAAAAAAAAAUAAUAAUAAUAAUAAUAAUUACAACAUUGAUAUAAUAAGUCAGCAUAUUAGAAUGAUUUCUGAAGGAUCAUGUGACACUGGAGACUGGAGUAAUGAUGCUGAAAAUACAGCUUUGAUCACAGCAAUAAAUGACAUUUUAAAACAUAUAUUCACAUAGAAAACAGCUAUUUUAAAUUGUAAUAAUAUUUCACAAUAUACCGUAUUUUUGGUCACAUAAAUGCAGCCUUGCAGAAGAGCAGAAGAGACUAUAUAUUCAAGCACUUGUGGAUGGACUGAAAGAGAAUAAUUCACUGGUCUGUUAUUUCUGUGCUCUUAUUGUGUCUCCAGACCAUUUGCUAUGUGCUCAGACUGUCAUGCUACACACACCAAACAAUUCAGACAGACACAAAAAGAUGUCUAACAGGUCAGCAGUGAACAUGCCGCAGCUCUUUUGAGGAGUCUGAUUAGACAGGCAUUCAUGCAUGGCACGGCAAUAUGGCACAAAGAAAAGCCACUACGAUGAGAUGAUUUCAGCCGUUAGACACUUUGGUUAGACACCUGUGGACCUCUAUUUGACAACAUGAUCUGAUAAUGAGAGAUACUGAGCGGCUUAUUACGAACACUUCAAUAGCAAAGAAUACUGUGUUAUAAUAUCAAAGUAAUAUGAACAUAAAGAGCAUUUUUCAGACUUUGUAGUCGUUCUAACUGCUGGUAAGAUGUCUAAUUCUGUUGAAUUGAAAGAGUGCUCAGUGUGGGUCAGGGAUGUUCUUUACUUCACAAAAUGAGAGAAAGUUAGAUACUCUCUUCAUCGAUCCAGCAGUAUGUUUGUCAAGCACACGUCCAAACUCUCCAGCUUGAUCCUCCCCACCCUUGAUGUACUUUCCAAUUCUGUAUUGCUUGGUGAAGGUAUUGUAGGAUUGUGUUUAUGUGAGAUACUGUAUUCAGAAUGUAUUUCUUUCCUUUUCUCUUUUUGUGUUUAUGUAUUUUUUAAAACUUCAGUGUAUUUGCUCACUAUCACUGUUAUUUUUUCUCUGUUGUCUCUGCUUUUUUCAUUCUACCUUUGUAAUGUUUCUUUAAAAUGUAUAAAUAAAUUAUUUUAAAAAAGAAAAAGGAAAAAAAAAACAAAUAUGCAGCAUUCCAUUUAGGGAUACUUCAAUUCUAC